GACGAACGCUGGCGGCGUGCCUAAUACAUGCAAGUUGAGCGCUGAAGGUUGGUACUUGUACCAACUGGAUGAGCAGCGAACGGGUGAGUAACGCGUGGGGAAUCUGCCUUUGAGCGGGGGACAACAUUUGGAGACGAAUGCUAAUACCGCAUAAAAACUUUAAACACAAGUUUUAAGUUUGAAAGAUGCAAUUGCAUCACUCAAAGAUGAUCCCGCGUUGUAUUAGCUAGUUGGUGAGGUAAAGGCUCACCAAGGCGAUGAUACAUAGCCGACCUGAGAGGGUGAUCGGCCACAUUGGGACUGAGACACGGCCCAAACUCCUACGGGAGGCAGCAGUAGGGAAUCUUCGGCAAUGGACGAAAGUCUGACCGAGCAACGCCGCGUGAGUGAAGAAGGUUUUCGGAUCGUAAAACUCUGUUGGUAGAGAAGAACGUUGGUGAGAGUGGAAAGCUCAUCAAGUGACGGUAACUACCCAGAAAGGGACGGCUAACUACGUG
rnacentral:rRNA from 1 species